rnacentral:rRNA from 1 species
CCUACGGGUGGCUGCAGUGGGGAAUAUUGCACAAUGGGCGUAAGCCUGAUGCAGCCAUGCCGCGUGUGUGAAGAAGGCCUUCGGGUUGUAAAGCACUUUCAGCGGGGAGGAAGGCGGUGAGGUUAAUAACCUCAUCGAUUGACGUUACCCGCAGAAGAAGCACCGGCUAACUCCGUGCCAGCAGCCGCGGUAAUACGGAGGGUGCAAGCGUUAAUCGGAAUUACUGGGCGUAAAGCGCACGCAGGCGGUCUGUCAAGUCGGAUGUGAAAUCCCCGGGCUCAACCUGGGAACUGCAUUCGAAACUGGCAGGCUAGAGUCUUGUAGAGGGGGGUAGAAUUCCAGGUGUAGCGGUGAAAUGCGUAGAGAUCUGGAGGAAUACCGGUGGCGAAGGCGGCCCCCUGGACAAAGACUGACGCUCAGGUGCGAAAGCGUGGGGAGCAAACAGGAUUAGAUACCCGAGUAGUC